UUCAGGGAGCUGGGCGGCAAUGGCGCUGCCAACCCCGUCAGACCCGAAAGGGAGCAGCGGCAACAGACGCUGUUGGGCGCCCGGCUCCCUCAAGGG
rnacentral:SRP_RNA from 1 species